rnacentral:lncRNA from 1 species
CUCUAAUGGAUAAAGUAAGCGGCAUGCAAGAACAGAUGGGCAAUGUAAGCAGAGAGAUGGAAAUUCUAAGAACUAAAAAGAAAAAGAAACGCUAGAGAUAAAAAACACUGUGACAGAAAAGAAGAAUGCCUUCAAUGAGCUUAUUAGUAGACUGGAUAUGGCUAAGAAAAUAAUCUCUGAGCUUGGGUGUAUUUCAAUAGAAACCUUCAAAACUGAAAAGAAAACAGAAAAAGGACUGAAAUAAGUAGAACAGACCAUCCAAGAACUGCAGGACAACUACAAACGGUGUAAAUGGGAAUAUAAAAAGGAGAAGAAUGAGAGAAAGGAAAAGAAGAAAUAUUUGAAAGAAUAAUGAUUGAGAAUUUCCCUCAAUUAAGAUCAGAUACCAAACCACAGAUUCCAGAAGCUCAGAGAACACAAAGCAGGAUAAAUGCCCCAAAAAUACACCCAGGCAUAUCAUGUUCAAACUGUAGAAAAUCAACAGUAAAGAAAAUCUUGAAAGAAGCCAGAGGGAAGAAACAUCUUAUCCUACAGAAGAGCAAAGGUAAGAAUUAUGUCUGACUUCUCUUCAGAAACAAAGCAAACAGGAAGAGAAUGGACUAAAAUACUUAAGGUGUUGAGAGAAAACAACCACCAACCUAGAAUUCUGUACCCUGCAAAAUUAUCCUUCAAACAUGAAGAAGUAAAGACUUCCUCAGAAAAACAAAAAUUGAGAAAAUUCUUUUUCCAAUACAACUGCCUUGCAAGACAUGUUAAAAGAAGUUAUUUAGAAAGAAGAAAAAUUAUACAAAUCAAAAACUGGGAUCAACAUAAAGAAAGGAAGAGCAUCAGAGAAGGAACAAGUGAAGUUGAAGUAUUCUACAAUGGAAGGACAAAAAAAGGAAAAAGAAAAGAAAAGAAAACCCAAUCAAGUCUGUGGGUUUGAGAUAUGGGUCCCUGAGAAAGGAUUCUGUCCAGAUGGUGAAAUCCAGACUUUGAAAGACUGAGCAAAUUGCCCACAGCAACACUGUUGAUAAAUAGCAGAGUUUGGAUUCAAGCGCAGGUCUGCAAUCCUGCUUGCGCAAAUUUCAAAGGAACGGAUACUGGGUAUCUUCCAGCCAGAUGGAGAAGCUGCAGCUCCAGACUCUUGACAGCCGCACAACUUCCAAGGCAGUGGCCCCGCGGGCUGCAAACCCCACCUUCCUGCAGUUGCAGAGCCAGCUAAGAGGUGGGCAGCAUGCCAGGCCCCAUCAGCAGCCCCUGGAGCACACACCAAUUGCAGAUGCUCAGGAGACUCGGGGGAAGGAACGGGGUUUUCACCAGAACACCACAGGCAGGACCUCCCAGCAAAGGCCUCCAGAUGCUGUGAAAACCUAAGGCUCGUCCUCCUCCUGGCUUCCCAGGUUACCCAGCCACAACACACAGGUGAGAACCAUCUCAAGACCUCCCCACUUUUGGGCUCCCUUACCCUGACUCAUCGGUCGUCAAGGGACCAAAAGGGGUCAGUAGAGCAAGGCCCCUGCCUUCAAAGAAUGCAUGCAUUUUUUACCUUCAUAUUAAUUAUUGAAAAAACCGUACCUCAAAUCACACCCCCAACCUCUCAGCAUGAACAAGCUCCAGCAGACUUCUCCCAGCAGCCCCUCCCGCCUUUCUCUGCAUGUAGGUCGGCUUUUCAGAGCUGCCAUCAAUGUGGACAUAAAGCCCUGCUUUCCACACUCCUCCCUCCGCUUUGUAUACACUUUCCCAUGCAUCUGGGUCAGCCUGGAGCUGAGUAUUUCACAGGGCAGCAAAAUAUACAGAGGCAUAUUUUGUUUUAGAAUCUUAAUACCCAGAACAUCUGGGUAAUACUCAGACAACUGGACAGAUUCUUGCUGAUGCUGCAAGUCUCCAAAUACGGUCCCUUGCAGAGAGAAAAUGCUGUAUUUUGCAUCUGUACCUAGGCACAUGGGUUUUCUCAAGCAUAGUGGACUUUGGAGUGUGACAGUUAGUGAUUUCUCCCCGGGAAGUGGCAUGACCUGUAGGAGUUACUGUUGGCUGCAGCUGCUGGUGCAGCCCAAAUUAUUUAUUGGUUUUGAUUCGUGCACCGUUCCCUGCGUAAAUUAAAAUGUGACAUUAUUACACCCUCCGAGAGCCCAUCGGCGACCUUGAGCACUCUCCCCCCACUCUGCAGCCAUUAUUCAGCAUAAUUUGACUGGUUUCAGG